rnacentral:misc_RNA from 1 species
AAAAUUUUGGCUUUUCUUGCUUGCCUCUAGCUUAUAAACAAUGUGUAGCAAUUACAAAUCAAAGUAAAAACUUAUACUUGUGAAUAAUAUACCAAAUUUUGAUGGUUGUUUCUAUGGUGUGGUGUGAUUAUAGGGAAACAAUCAUAUAUUGGAGAAACCAUUGUGUCAAAAAAUGUUAUGUUUAUUUUACUAGUUGUCAAUUUUAGCCUUGCUUGUAGGUUCUUUUUCCACCCUCCUUAGAUUGAGGU